AAGGGAUAAUAAUAGAGGCCUUAUGAUUAGGUGGCAAAAUUUAAAUUCAACUACUGUUCUUGGUCUUCGCCACUUCUUUUUCUUGAAAUUGCCACCUGUCUUGUUGUAGCUUAUCACCAAGAAGACUGGACAGUAGGACACCACAAUGGACUGCCAGCAUGUGUUCCAGGAGAGGAAAUUAAAUAUGCACAGAAUGCUUUAAAAUAUUCAGCACUUUAGGAAAAGAGAGUUGCUGGUUAGAAAAUAUUUAGAAAAAAUAUUUGUGGAAACUUUAUUUUAUCAACGCAAAAUUCUUACUUAUAGAUACUCUAACGGCCUGCCCGGUACUGAACUCAAGGUUUGUUCUACAGGUAAUAUAAACAGCCUUUCCACUGACCAGGUGUCCCUGCUAGUGACUUUGACUUCUGCAGAAUAGGAGAACGUGUGGUGUCCACAACAACAAACCAACAGCUAGAUGGUACCAGUGUAUCAGUGUCACACCAAUGGUUUAUACGCAUCUGGAGUGUUCCCACGUGUCCUCUAAAAUCACUUUGGUUGCUUUGGUCCUCAAUCCCCACUUUUAUCACACUAGAACUUAUACUGGGAGUUUAAGUAAUAUAUAAGCCUGAAGAGAUGGAAGAAAGGAUAUUUCUUUAAAGAUAUUUGACAUUUGGAUCUGAUUUUUAUUCAUGGGCUUGACAUAUUUUUGCAAAUCUGCAGCAUUAUUAGAAGAGCCAUGACUUUGUUCUUGAGCCCUAGCCCAGUGUUGUCAUGUCAGUUCUAGGGAAGUGAUGGGUGUUUGUUGGUUAUUUAAAAGCAUUUCUUGAGGGUUGAGAGAAAUUUAAGCUAUCCAUAUAAAAAGAGCUUGAUCCAAUUCCUUUAGAAAAUCCUUAUAUGCUGAUGGAAAACAUGUCAUCUAGAUAUUCUAGCAAAGUGAAAAGCCCAGAGUUUGUGUGUAAAAUGAGGAAGCCAGAGGGAAGGUUCCUUAGGACAAAUUUGGAGAGCAAUGUCUAUGUCAUUGUGGUGUGCAAGUCAAGACAAGUAAAACCACUGUUGAUACACUAAUGUGAAGGUAAAUGAGGAGUUUUGGAAAUCAUGAUAGGGGUAUUUGAGAAACACUGAAGAUAUUUCUCAAACACCUGGGCAUGGUGUAAAGAGACACAUAUGUGAGUUUUCAAAAUGCAGUUUUUAUUGAAAAGAAAUUUUAAUGGAAAAUUUUCACACUAACUCAAGAUUAUUGCAAUAAUCAUAACAGAAUUUUAGCUUU